UACAGAGGGGGCAAGCGUUGUUCGGAAUUACUGGGCGUAAAGGGCGCGUAGGCGGCCUUCUAAGUCGAACGUGAAAUCCCCGGGCUCAACCCGGGAACUGCGUCCGAUACUGGAAGGCUUGAAUCCGGGAGAGGGAUGCGGAAUUCCGAGGUGUAGCGGUGAAAUGCGUAGAUAUCUGGAGGAACACCGGUGGCGAAGGCGGCAUCCUGGACCAACACUGACACUGAGGACGCGAAAGCCAGGGGAGCGAACAGG
rnacentral:rRNA from 1 species